rnacentral:rRNA from 1 species
GAUGAACGCUGGCGGCGUGCCUAAUACAUGCAAGUCGAGCGAACAGAUGAGGAGCUUGCUCCUCUGACGUUAGCGGCGGACGGGAGAGUAACACGUGGAUAACCUACCUAUAAGACUGGGAUAACUUCGGGAAACCGGAGCUAAUACCGGAUAAUAUAUUGAACCGCGUGGUUCAAUAGUGAAAGACGGUUUUGCUGUCACUUAUAGAUGGAUCCGCGCCGCAUUAGCUAGUUGGUAAGGUAACGGCUUACCAAGGCAACGAUGCGUAGCCGACCUGAGAGGGUGAUCGGCCACACUGGAACUGAGACACGGUCCAGACUCCUACGGGAGGCAGCAGUAGGGAAUCUUCCGCAAUGGGCGAAAGCCUGACGGAGCAACGCCGCGUGAGUGAUGAAGGUCUUCGGAUCGUAAAACUCUGUUAUUAGGGAAGAACAAAUGUGUAAGUAACUAUGCACGUCUUGACGGUACCUAAUCAGAAAGCCACGGCUAACUACGUG